rnacentral:rRNA from 1 species
UACGGAGGGUGCAAGCGUUGUCCGGAUUUAUUGGGCGUAAAGAGCGUGUAGGCGGCCAAGCAGGUCCGCUGUGAAAACUCGAGGCUCAACCUCGAGACGUCGGUGGAAACCGUGUGGCUAGAGUCCGGAAGAGGAGAGUGGAAUUCCCGGUGUAGCGGUGAAAUGCGCAGAUAUCGGGAAGAACACCCGUGGCGAAGGCGGCUCUCUGGGACGGUACUGACGCUGAGACGCGAAAGCGUGGGGAGCGAACAGG